GACGAACGCUGGCGGCGUGCUUAACACAUGCAAGUCGAGCGAGGCCCCUCCUUCGGGAGGGUGUCCUAGCGGCGAACGGGUGAGUAACACGUGGGCAACCUGCCCCCGGCUCUGGGAUAACUCCAAGAAAUUGGGGCUAAUACCGGAUAUGACCGCUGACCGCAUGGUCUGGUGGUGGAAAGAUUUAUCGGCUGGGGAUGGGCCCGCGGCCUAUCAGCUUGUUGGUGGGGUAGUGGCCUACCAAGGCGACGACGGGUAGCCGGCCCGAGAGGGUGACCGGCCACACUGGGACUGAGACACGGCCCAGACUCCUACGGGAGGCAGCAGUGGGGAAUAUUGCGCAAUGGGCGGAAGCCUGACGCAGCGACGCCGCGUGGGGGAUGACGGCCUUCGGGUUGUAAACCUCUUUCGGCAGGGACGAAGCGAAAGUGACGGUACCUGCAGAAGAAGCACCGGCCAACUACGUGCCAGCCGCCGCAGUAA
rnacentral:rRNA from 1 species